GCGGGGCCGUGUCACAGCUCCUGUCCUACCUCACGGCUGCUUCUAGCCCGAGGAGAGGCCUGAGGCCGGGUUGGCGGUGGGGGGAGGGAGUUCCUUUGGUUUUCAUCGGCAUUUUUAACUUUUUGGGUAUCAGAAAAAUCGUAAGUGAUAGGAGAGGUCAUUGUGCACCUCUGAUGGCUUCCUCGCUUGUUAGGCUUGGGUUUAGGGGUUGGAGAAGCAGCCUGCGUCUCAUUAGGAGUGUGGCCCAGGCUGUAUCUGUCGACCCCCGCCAGGAGCGGUCUCGGCACCUGCGGAUUUUCACCUGCCCGUCCUCACCGCACCCGCGCCAGGCCCUGUCCCCUUGCCGCACACCUGCCAAGCCGUCUCCUCACCACACUGAGCUGACCGUCCCCUGUGAUCAGCUCUACGUUUGGCCCUUUAACAGUUGUAAGGACCGGCACAUUUGGGCGUCUUUCCACCAUCUCGCCUUGUGCACCAUAUUCCCCCUGCUGCUGCUUUUCCCUUCCUGUCUCAUUGUGGCAAAGAGCACGUGAGGCCUGCCCUCAGCUGCCCACUGCGCAGCGUGGUGUUACCCACGGCGAGACGUGGUACAGCAGAGCUAGAACUGACUCGUCCUGCGUGACUGCAGCCUCAUACCUGUUGCGGCGGACACCCCCCGGCUAGCCUCUGCACCUUUGACGAUUCUAAAUGUCUCAUACGAAUGGAGUCCUGCCUGGCUUAUGUCACUCAGCAUAAUGUCUUCAAGGCUCACCCGUGCUGCUGCACACAGAAGGAUGUCCUUGCUUUUUUGUAAACCUGUGUAAUAACCCUCUGUGUACAGCCCAUAUUUCCUUUAUCUGCUCACCUGUCUGUGGACACGAUAUUACUUCCAUGUCUUGACCAUUGUGAGAAGUGCUGCAGAAUAUGGGGUGAGAUGGCUGGUAGAGGCACUCACUGAAAUUCUUUUGGAUCAAUAUUGAUAACAGGAAUUUCUAUAUCAUAUGGUAGUCCUAUUUUUAGUUUUUUAAGGAACUACUACCCUGUUUUCCACAGUGGUUACACCAACUUCCCUUCCUGUCAACAGUGUAGGAGGAUUUCCUUUCUUCCACAUCCUCCUCAGCACUUGUUAUUUUCUGUGUCAGGGUGUGGCCAUCCUACCAGGCGUGAGGUGGUAGCUCAUUGUAGUUUUGAUCUGCAUUUCCCCAAUGAUGAGUGAUGUGGAGCGUCUUUUCCUUUACCAGCUGGUCAUUAUAUGUCGUCUUCAGAGAAAUGCCUCUUCAGGUCUCUUGUCCGUUUUUUUCUAAUUGGGUUAUUUGUGGGCUUUUUGCUAUUGAGUUAGAGGAGUUUCUUUCAUGUUUGGAUAUUACCCCCUUAUCAGUUAUAUGAUUUGCAAAUAUUUUCUCUCUUUUGGCUGCCUUUUUCACUGUUGAUGGCUCCUUUGCUGUGCAGAAGCUCUUUAGUUUGAUGUGGUCCCACUUGUCUGUCUUUGCUGUUACUGCCUUUUAUUGCUUUUGGUGUCCUUUCCAAGAAGCCACUGCCAAGACCAAUGUCAUGAAGGCAAGGAUGCCCACUCUACUCCUGUUCACACCACAUUACUGGAGAUCUUAGCCAGAACAGUUAAACAAGAAAAAGAAAUAGAAGGCAUCCAAAUCAGAAAACCCUAAGGACUCCAUAAAAACCCUGUUGGUACUAAUAAACAAAAUCAGUCAAGUCACAGCAUAUAAAAAUCAGUUGCCUUUCUAUACAUCAACAAAGAAAUAUCCAAAAUGGAAAUGAAGAAAGCCAUCCCAUUUACAAAUAGCAUCAAAAAAAAAUACUGAGAAAUAAACUUAAGCAAGGAAAUUACAGUCUUGUGCCUGCAGAAUAAGACAUUGAUGGAACAAAUUAAAGAAGACACUAACAAAUGGAAGGACCUCCUGUGUUCGUGGAUUGGAGGACUUAGAUGUUCUUAAAAUGUACAGCUACUCAGUGACCCAGAGAGUCAAUCAAACCCUAGUGAAAUCACAAUAGCAUUGCUUAGAAAGAGGAAAAGCAAUCCUAAAAUUCAUAUGCAACCACAAAGGACCCUGAAUAGCAAACAUAAUCUUGAGAAAGAAGAAAUGAAGCUGGGGGCAUCGUGCUUCCUUGCCGGAGUCCAGCUCCAGCGAGUCCAGGGUCCCUGAAGGAUGAACGGCAUCAGUGGCUGAAUGAAUGAGUUGAGGACACAGAUAUAGCAAAAGCUGAGCCUGGCCUUUAAUGAAAAGUAGCAGUUUUAUUAUAUACUCUUUGAUUACAUAAAGUAAAGUACAGAUAUUAAUCAUGUAAUUGACACAUAGCACGGUUACAUGAGUUUGGAGAAUGAGAUUAAGUCAUUUGGCAGGUCUUAGCAGUUAACUUGUUUCUAAGUAAGCUUUGUUCUUAGUUAUUGUGGCCAGAAAAUCUUACAAAGGUUAGGUAGGUGCCAGACUCUUGGUUUCUUUACAGAUGUCUAUCUAAAGUUCACUGUUCUACUAUUUUUAUCUAGGGCCCUCAUUCUUUCGUAGCUAUACUCCCAUUCUUCAUCUUUGGUAGGAAAGAAAGAGGCUCUCUCUAAAAGAACACGAUGACUUUUUGGCGGGCAGGGACAAAUUUUAUGGAUGGUGCCUCAGACCCAUUUUCAGUAAGACUUACAAUGGAGAUUUUUCUGAUCUGGAGUUAGGUAAUGCCCUGUUCUCAUUUGUUUUAUAAUUUGCCAGGUUGGUCUUUGGCAAGCUAGCCAAAGAAUAUCAUUUGUUCUCUGUACCCACCUGUUGCCAUUAAUCAUUGAAUAUGUUAUUUGGAGGCCAUGUAGGGGCGGGGGAAGGAACCUCAACCCAGGUACAUUUUCCAUAUCUUUUUUCCCAUAAACUUAGGUCCAAUACUCAUGGGGUCUCACUUUCCCAUCAUCGGGGGUAGUCACAAGGGUAAUAGUGGUUUUCUCCAAUUUCCUUUAGGGCCAGUACCCAAAAUUUUCAGGGAGAAUUGGGUAUAGCCUCCUCCCUGAAGGGGCAGCUUGAAUUGAAACCGAAAUAAGCAAAUUUAUUAGGAGAGACAUUUUGAGCAGGAGGGACAUCGGGGUCGCUCCCCUGGGAAGGCCGCGGUGCAGCCCCUGCCCUCCGGCUGCCCGCACUGUGUCAUCAGGUGGCGGUUCGGACUGGCUCCUGACACUUCCUGAAUCCAAAUUAUAUUACAGAGCUGCAGAGUUAAAACGGUAUGGUUCUGGCACAAGUGAAACAUAUGUGACAGCCCUGAAAAGGCCUCAUCUACAGUCAACUGACCUUUGACAACGGUGCCAAGAACACAUAAAAAGGACAGUCUCCUCAACAAAUGGUGUUCAGAAACUGGAUUCUUAUCUCAGACCCAUUACACCAUAAAUCAACUCAAAAUUAAAGACUUAAACUUAAGACCUGUAAGUGUAGAACUCGUAUAAAAAAAAUGGGAAAAGUUUCACCCUGCUUUUUCUGUGUUCAGGUUUUUCCUACUUUUUUUACUUAUUUGGGGAUAAGCAAAUAUUGUUUCAUAUUUUCCUGCCAUCCUGCUUUGGAAGUUAUGUCCCAUCAUGUCAACUCAGUAGCCGUCCUGAAAUAUCACCUGCGCCCUUGUUCUGACCUUGGAGUCGGUCCUCAGGACCGUAAAACACCCUCUUGCCUGUGGCUGCCCCGUCUCUGACUCCCCUGUGAGCAGCCUGCGCGUCAGAUUCCGGCUCAAAAGCUGGCACUCGGUGGCUUCGUUGUUGAGGAGCCUUUUUCAAGCGAUGCCUUAAUACUCCGUUUCGCUGCAGGGGGGGCCCCUCCUCCUGCUCAUCAGCAGAGUCCCCUCAGGCUGCCCCGCUGUGUGGAGCUGGGGACGCCUUCCUGUAGGCCCCGAGGGCCUGAGGUUGGUUCUCAGCAGAGCUGGGCAGCAGCCAGAGCCGGGAGGCCCCGGGGCCGUAAGCCACUCUGGGCCCGGGUCUGGAGGAGCUCCCGUUCUGCAGCCUCUGCCUUCAUCCCUGGUCUGUGUGUCAGAUGCCUGACCACGGGGUCCAGGGAGCAGCUCCUCCUCAAGACAAGGAUCCUGAGGGGAGGCUGGUCCAGUGGCGGCUCCUCACUGCUUGGCAGAAGCCAAGUCACAGGACGAGUCAUGAGCUGUGAGGUGGGGGUCGGGAGGGCUGGCUCCACCUGCCCACAUGUCCCAGGAGUGCCCAACAGGUCCCAGGGGCGUCCCAGGCCCCCCUGUCUGGCUUCACAGCUCAAUCACAGGCUGUGGCUUUGUGCCAUCUGCUGGUUGCAGGAUACUGCAAGGCUUUGUCACCAUGGGUCAGGGUGGCUGGGACAGAAAAGCCUGGCUCUGGCCCCAGGGCCACUACACAGAGGCCCUCGGUGGGCAGCUCAACUCCAGGGGCAGUGGGUGGUGGUCUCUGGGAGUUGUCAUAGAUGUCAUGAUGGGAUGGCCCCCCAGUUCCCUCAUUGUUAGGUGGUGGUUGGGCAGCACAUGCCUGAAAACUCUGGAGUGCUGCUGCCCGGCAUGCCAAGGCCAGAGGGCUGAUCGCAGAGGGAAGAUGGCGGACAGCAGAGGCCCCCACCUGACACCCUGAGCAACAGACGCUGAAGGCUGAGUGGUAGCUGCUGGAGGCCCACCGGGUAACCCUGUCCCCGAACUGGAAGCCUUCCUGGUCGGCGGGGGGAGUCCUCCAAGCGACCCCCAGCAGAAGGAACCGGAGGUUGAUGUGGAACAGAGCAGCACGUCCAUCUGCAGUGAAGCAAGUGUCAGUACUCUGUCCUCAUGGGAAGUUGCUCCACGGUGCAUGGAUCAUGUGUGUUGACCGUCCGUCCGUCCUGUCCACACUGGAAUAUGUCUGCAUUUUGCUGUCAUACUAGUGCUGUGAACAUACGUGGCAAAUGUGGUCUAGGACCUGUUCUCACCUCUCCCAGGUGGACCCUAGGUGUGGAAUCCACAGGACUGUGUUCUGCCUCCCAAGGGGCCCCCACAGCAGCUGCACCACCUCAUGCCCCUCCAGCAGCCUGGGGGGCUCACCUCUGCAUCCGCACACCAUUGUCCUCCAUCCAACGGGCAGUAGCCCUUCCAGGGGGCGAGGUGGGUGCCUCGGGGCUCCCACCUCCCUUUCCCUGGUGGCAGUGCUCGGAGCCUCCAGUCAUGCACCUCUCAGCCACGUCCCUGUGGACAAUGCAUGCCGCCGACCACUUGUGACUGGGCUGUCUGUCCGCGAUCGAGUCAUGUACUCUCGCAUGCCUGUGUGCCAGGCCCCACAUCAGUUGAGUCACAAGUAUUUUCAUAUGCUUUGAGGGUUGUCGCUUCCUGGUCUCCAUGGUGCCCCUAAACACAGCCUUUUAAUUCUGAUCCA